GGCCUACCAUGGUGGUAACGGGUAACGGGGAAUUAGGGUUCGAUUCCGGAGAGGGAGCCUGAGAAACGGCUACCACAUCCAAGGAAGGCAGCAGGCGCGCAAAUUACCCAAUCCCGACACGGGGAGGUAGUGACAAUAAAUAACAAUACGGGGCUCUUUCGGGUCUCGUAAUUGGAAUGAGUACAAUUUAAAUCCCUUAACGAGGAACAAUUGGAGGGCAAGUCUGGUGCCAGCAGCCGCGGUAAUUCCAGCUCCAAUAGCGUAUAUUAAAGUUGUUGCAGUUAAAAAGCUCGUAGUUGAAUUUCGGGAUUGACACAUCGGUCGUGCCUUAAGGGGUAUGAACUGGUGUAGUCAAUUUCUCACCUUCUGGAGAACCACGAUGCCCUUAAUUGGGUGUCGCGGGGAACCAGGACCUUUACUUUGAAAAAAUUAGAGUGUUUAAAGCAGGCAUUUUGCUUGAAUACAUUAGCAUGGAAUAAUAAAAUAGGACGGCAUGAUUCUAUUUUGUUGGUUUCUAGGAUCACCGUAAUGAUUAAUAGGGAUAGUUGGGGGCAUUAGUAUUCAAUUGUCAGAGGUGAAAUUCUUGGAUUUAUUGAAGACUAACUACUGCGAAAGCAUUUGCCAAGGAUGUUUUCAUUAAUCAAGAACGAAAGUUAGGGGAGCGAAGACGAUCAGAUACCGUCGUAGUCUUAACCAUAAACUAUGCCGACUAGGAAUCANACGAUGUUAAUUUUUUAAUGACUCGUUUGGCNCCUUACG
rnacentral:rRNA from 1 species